rfam:Medicago truncatula strain A17 chromosome 7, whole genome shotgun sequence.
CCCAUAAGUAAUGAACUGUCCGUUUAGGUCCCUUAACUUUAUUUAAAGUAUCGGUUUGAUCCUUUCUGUUAAUUUAAUUCAAAAAAACGUUAACUUUAGGGACCAAACUAAUACUAAUUAAAUAAGAUAAGGGACCAAAAUUUAACAUUUUUUUGAAUUAAAUUAACAGAAAGGACCAAACUGAUACUUUCAAUAAAGUUAAGGGACCUAAACGCACCUUUUAUUACUUAUGAGA